rnacentral:rRNA from 1 species
UACGAAGGGGGCUAGCGUUGUUCGGAUUUACUGGGCGUAAAGCGCACGUAGGCGGAUCGUUAAGUCGGGGGUGAAAUCCUGGAGCUCAACCCCAGAACUGCCUUCGAUACUGGCGAUCUUGAGUCCGGAAGAGGUGAGUGGAACUCCGAGUGUAGAGGUGAAAUUCGUAGAUAUUCGGAGGAACACCAAAGGCGAAGGCAGUGUCCUGGGGAGUACCUGACGCUCAGGUGCGAAAGCCAGGGGAGCGAACGGG